rnacentral:rRNA from 1 species
UACGGAGGUGGCGAGCGUUACUCGGAUUUACUGGGCGUAAAGGGUGUGUAGGCGGCCUGAUAAGUCAGAUGUGAAAUCUUUCGGCUCAACCGAAAGACUGCGUCUGAAACUGUCAGGCUUGAGGACCGGAGAGGAGAGCGGAACUGCCGGUGUAGGGGUGAAAUCCUUAGAUAUCGGCAGGAACACCAGUGGCGAAGGCGGCUCUCUGGACGGUACCUGACGCUGAGGCACGAAAGCUAGGGGAGCAAACAGGAUUAGAUACCCUGGUAGUCCUAGCUGUAAACGAUGCGGACUAGGUGUUUCCGAUUUUCGGGAGUGCCGUAGCUAACGCGUUAAGUCCGCCGCCUGGGGACUACGGCCGCAAGGCUAAAACUCAAAGGAAUUGACGGGGGCCCGCACAACUGGUGGAACAUGUGGUUUAAUUCGACGAUACGCGAGGAACCUUACCAGGGCUUGACAUGCUAGUAGUACUGAACCGAAAGGGGAUGGAUCCCGCUUUGCGGGAAGCUAGCACAGGUGCUGCACGGCUGUCGUCAGCUCGUGCCGUGAGGUGUUGGGUUAAGUCCCGCAACGAGCGCAACCACCGCCCUUAGUUGCCACUCCUGGCUUGCCAGGAAGCACUCUAAGGGGACUGCCCCGGACAACGGGGAGGAAGGUGGGGAUGACGUCAAGUCAGUGUGGCCCUUACGUCCUGGGCGACACACGUGUUACAAUGGCCGGUACAAAGGGUCGCGAAACCGCGAGGUGGAGCCAAUCCCAAAAAGCCGGUCCCAGUUCGGAUUGGAGUCUGCAAUUCGACUCCAUGAAGCUAGAAUCAGUAGUAACCCCAUAUAAGUCACGGUGGGGUGAAUACGUUCCCGGGCC